GACGAACGCUGGCGGCGUGCUUAACACAUGCAAGUCGAACGGAAAGGCCCUGCUUUUGUGGGGUGCUCGAGUGGCGAACGGGUGAGUAACACGUGAGUAACCUGCCCUUGACUUUGGGAUAACUUCAGGAAACUGGGGCUAAUACCGGAUAGGAGCUCCUGCUGCAUGGUGGGGGUUGGAAAGUUUCGGCGGUUGGGGAUGGACUCGCGGCUUAUCAGCUUGUUGGUGGGGUAGUGGCAUACCAAGGCUUUGACGGGUAGCCGGCCUGAGAGGGUGACCGGCCACAUUGGGACUGAGAUACGGACCAGACUCCUACGGGAGGCAGCAGUGGGGAGUAUUGCACAAUGGGCGGAAGCCUGAUGCAGCAACGCCGCGUGCGGGAUGACGGCCUUCGGGUUGUAAACCGCUUUCGCCUGUGACGAAGCGUGAGUGACGGUAAUGGGUAAAGAAGCACCGGCUAACUACGUG
rnacentral:rRNA from 1 species